AACGAACGCUGGCGGCGUGCCUAACACAUGCAAGUCGAACGUGAUUAGAGAGCUUGCUCUCUAUGAAAGUGGCGCACGGGUGAGUAACGCGUAGAUAAUCUACCUGAUGAUCCGGGAUAACACUUCGAAAGGGGUGCUAAUACCAGAUAAGCCCACGGGGUCUUUGGACUCUGCGGGAAAAGGAGGGGACUUUCGGGCCUUCCGUCAUCAGAUGAGUCUGCGUACCAUUAGCUAGUUGGUAGGGUAAAGGCCUACCAAGGCGACGAUGGUUAGCUGGUCUGGGAGGAUGAUCCGCCACACUGGAACUGAGACACGGUCCAGACUCCUACGGGAGGCAGCAGUGGGGAAUUUUGCGCAAUGGGGGAAACCCUGACGCAGCAACGCCGCGUGAGUGAUGAAGGCCCUUGGGUCGUAAAGCUCUGACAGAGGGAAAGAAGUGUAUUGUGGCUAAUAUCCAUGAUGCUUGACGGUACCCUCAAAGGAAGCACCGGCUAACUCCGUGCCAGCCGCCGCGGUAA
rnacentral:rRNA from 1 species